rnacentral:lncRNA from 1 species
CUUUUUUCGCUUCGUUGUAGCCGGUUGUCCCGACAUGGCACUGCAGUCCCCGCCCGAUGUUCAGGACGUUCGCGGCUUUACUGGCUGUCCAGGUUGUCCAGCAGUCUUAGAACUCACAGGACAAAAAUUCUACAGUUACCCCAAAGUUCACCAUACCAGGUCACCAAUCUAUGGACAGGGUGAGCAACAACCGUAGCCUAGCACUCGCUUCUCCCGGUGCUAACAACAGGAAGCUGGAGGAAGCGCAGAAUAACAUCAACGCCCUUAGCCAAGUCUCUGGAGGCACGUUGCACCGCAGCUCGGCCAGCAGCAACAUCAGCGUCAUCAACAGCCCUGAACAGCAGCAACCGCCCUCGCAGCACCACUCCAACAAGCUCCAGCGGACCCCAAGCCACCUGAAGAGCGGCCAAGCGGCCCAGAACGGACCCCAUCACCGAACUUGGGCUUAAAGCCGGAGGCCGGGACACUACUCGGAUUCGUCAAGCGUCUACAGUGCGUUUGCGGACCACAUCUAUGAGUCCAUCGACGGUGAUGCCUCCUCGGUCGAUCGCCUGUCCGACGUCCCGCCACCGCCUGCGCCUCCCCAAUCCGAGGCGUUCUACGGAGACCUGUCCGACAUGAGCCAGCACUCCUCAUCCAGCUACGGCUACGACCAGCGGCCCUUGCUCGUCACGCCAUUGUCGGGCAAGUAUCAGGCCACACCCCUGGCAAACGUCAUGCACGGCUUUGCAAGGGCACUACGCCACGUCUUCGCCAGAGAUGCCGCGCUAUGUAUACGGAGCAGCAGAGGCACUAUGGCUCAGGCCGACGCAAGCACGACAUCGUUGGCUUCAAUGGGCCUCCUUACUCACCCUAAGAUGCUGUAAGAGGCCGCCCUGACGCAGAGGCUAGAAGACGCCCCGACAAACUUCUCCUCGGACUCGGGCAUGGUCGCCGACAGCGAGGAUUACUGGGGCACCUCACCGACGCUGCCGGACUUGUUGCACGGCCCCGUGGAGAGCAACCCUGUGGUGAUGGCUGUGUUGGACGGUGAAAAAGUGGUGAGCAGGAUUCGUUCGGAUGCCAUGAUGACGACACCAUCGAAUCCGAGAUUGCAAUAGCAGCGAUACAACCUCAGCACGUACUGCUAACCGGAGUCAUGUGUGUGAUUCGCACGUGCAUGUGCUUGUGGGAAGUGCGCGUGUUCUUUUCUUCUUUUUUUCCCCGCUUAGAAAUUCUCAUCGCAUAGGACUUUUAAGAAGCAUUCGUGUACUUAACUGAAAUGGACUGGCACUUGCGAGGGACGGACUGUGUGUGUUCCCCAGUCCGUCUACCCGUCCACGAGAGAACUUUCUUUUCAUGUCUCGGAGGAAAGCAGGUAUAGAAGAGAGGGCGGUUCUUUGAAUCCUAAGCAUCUAGUCGUCGAACACAAGAGUAGAGGGGGAUGUGCUAGUCGCUGGCGAGAGCAGAAUUGGUACAGCCAUUCUUGCUUACCGCCCGUGAUCGGAGGAAGAGCACGGACGUCUCUCGACUGCUUAAUUUAAGAAAACAAAAUGACGAGAGACUGAGCGGUGCUUUUUGCUAAGAAGCCAGGUCUAAUCGACGGCUUUGUACAUUUUUUUAUUAUUGCUGUAAGUACAAUGUAAAUCUAGACAUUCGCACCUGUAUUUAAAUGUCCUUGUUUCAUGUUGUCUUUUUUUUUCCUCUUGGAGAAUGUUGCAAGUGAACCCAGGAGAAGAGCAGGCUGGUUGUUUUUGUCAGUGUCUUGCAAAUAAGGCAUCUGAGAGCUAUUUUCGCAGUUUCGUAAGUCACCCGCUGCUAUAAGCAAAGCAUUACCAAAUCACCGACAGUGCUGUACAUAGUAUAACGGAACAAACACUGGUUGCACAAACUCUAUUUUCCUUGCUGCCACUUCGGUCCUUGCGCACGCCAAGCUUGUGAUCCGUGACCAGUCCAAUUUUACUCUAGCCUAUUUUAAACAAGAUCUGCUUCAAAAAUCAAAAAUGCAAACAGAGAGAAA